rnacentral:rRNA from 1 species
CCUACGGGUGGCAGCAGUGGGGAAUAUUGCACAAUGGGGGAAACCCUGAUGCAGCGACGCCGCGUGAGCGAGGAAGUAUUUCGGUAUGUAAAGCUCUGUCAGCAGGGAAGAAGAAUGACGGUACCUGAAGAAGAAGCACCGGCUAACUACGUGCCAGCAGCCGCGGUAAUACGUAGGGGGCAAGCGUUAUCCGGAUUUACUGGGUGUAAAGGGAGCGUAGACGGUGCAGCAAGUCUGAUGUGAAAGGUCGGGGCCCAACCCCGGGACUGCUCUGGGAACUGUCCGGCUGGAGUGCGGGAGGGGCAGGCGGAAUUCCUGGUGUAGCGGUGAAAUGCGUAGAUAUCAGGAGGAACACCGGCGGCGAAGGCGGCCUGCUGGACCGCGACUGACGUUGAGGCUCGAAAGCGUGGGGAGCGAACAGGAUUAGAUACCCCUGUAGUC